CGGCGGCGGGAGGGGAGCGGCGCUCCCGAACAUGGCGGCGCGCGGGGCCGGCAGCGCCUGAGCCCGGCGCCCCUCGGUCCGCGGGGGUGUCUCCCCCUUCCUCCUCCUCCCUCUCCUCUUCCUCCUCCUCCUCCUCCGGCCCCGCUCCCCGGCGCGGCCAUGGAGAGCGAGGAGGAGCAGCACAUGACCACGCUGCUCUGCAUGGGCUUCUCGGACGCGGCCGCCAUCCGCAAGGCCCUGCGCCUGGCCAAGAACGACAUCAACGAGGCCGUGGCGCUGCUCACCAAUGAGCGGCCCGGCCUCCACUACGGCGGCUACGAGCCCAUGGAGAGCGGGCAGGGCCCGCCGGGCGGGCACGGCUCCCCCGCGGGCGGGCAGGGCCCCCGCGGGGGCGGCGGGGACGGGGACGGCGGCGGCGGCGGGGGCGGCUUCGAUCCCCCGCCCGCGUACCACGAGGUGGUGGAGACCGAGAAAAAUGAUGAAAAUGGGAAUUGCUCCGGUGAAGGGAUUGAGUUUCCAACAACUAACUUGUAUGAACUGGAGAGCAGAGUUUUAACAGAUCACUGGUCCAUACCCUACAAGCGGGAGGAGUCUCUAGGCAAGUGCCUAAUUGCAUCCACCUACCUAGCAAGACUGGGUCUUUCUGAUUCCGAUGAGAAUUGCAAGAGAUUUAUGGAUAGAUGCAUGCCUGAAGCAUUUAAAAAGCUGUUAACAUCCAGUGCCGUUCACAAAUGGGGAACUGAAAUCCAUGAAGGAAUAUACAACAUGCUUAUGCUGCUAGUGGACCUGGUUGCAGAGAGAGUAAAACAAGAUCCUAUUCCCGUGGGCCUGCUCGGUGUACUUACAAUGGCAUUUAAUCCCGACAAUGAAUAUCAUUUCAAGAAUCGAAUGAAGGUGUGCCAGAGAAACUGGGCAGAAGUUUUUGGGGAGGGGAACAUGCAUGCUGUCUCACCCAUAUCCACAUUUCAAAAGGAACCUCACGGGUGGCUGGUGGAUCUGGUAAACAGGUUUGCAGAGUUGGGUGGAUUUUCAGCAAUUCAGUCCAAACUCAAUUCAGAAGAUAUUGAACUUGGGGCAAUCUCUGCAUUAGUUCAGCCAUUUGGAGUUUGUGCAGAAUAUCUUAACUCUUCUGUAGUACAGCCCAUGCUGGAUCCAGUCAUUCAUAAAAUGAUUAAAUAUGUACAGAAUGUAGAAGAGAAGGACUUGAAAGACAAGAGACUAGUCAGUAUCCCUGAGCUCUUGUCUGGUAUCAAACUGCUGUGUAUGCGCUUCCAACCUGAUCUGGUCACUGCAGUCGAUGACUUACGGCUGGACAUCCUGCUGCGCAUGUUGAAAUCUCCUCACUUCAGUGCAAAGAUGAAUUCCCUCAAAGAAGUAACAAAAUUAAUAGAAGACAGCACUGUCUCCAAGUCGGUGAAGAAUGCGAUAGAUACAGACCGACUGCUAAAUUGGCUCGUAGAGAAUUCGGUUCUGUCGAUUGCUCUAGAAGGUAAUAUAGACCAAGCGCAAUACUGUGAUCGUAUAAAGGGAAUUAUUGAACUACUGGGCAGUAAAUUAUCUUUAGAUGAGCUCACUAAAAUUUGGAGAAUUCAGUCAGGACAAUCCUCUACUGUGAUUGAAAACAUACAUACCAUUAUUGCUGCAGCUGCUGUGAAGUUUAGUUCUGAUCAGCUCAACCAUUUAUUUGUUUUAAUACAAAAGAGCUGGGAGACAGAGAGUGACAGGGUGAGACAGAAGCUGCUGAGCCUGAUCGGGCGCAUUGGUCGAGAAGCACGUGUGGAAACAACCACUGGAAAGGUUCUGGAGGUACUUUGGGAGCUGGCUCAUCUUCCAACAUUACCAUGUAGUCUUAUUCAGCAGGCCUUGGAGGAACAUCUGACAAUCCUCAGUGAUGCUUAUGCAGUGAAAGAGGCAAUCAAAAGAAGCUAUAUCAUCAAAUGCAUAGAAGAUAUAAAGAGGAAACUGAAGCCUUCCAGAAAAGUGAUGAGCAGGUCUAACAAUGAGUCAUCCCAGCACAAUAAUCCUCAGUUUGUGUGGGUGGUGCCAGCAUUACGUCAGCUCCAUGAAAUCACGCGUUCAUUUAUUAAGCAAACGUACCAAAAACAAGACAAGAGCAUUAUUCAAGAUUUAAAGAAAAACUUUGAAAUUGUGAAGUUGGUGACAGGAAGCUUAAUAUCAUGUCACCGUUUGGCUGCAUCUGUGGCAGGUCCAGGAGGGCUUGUUGGAGCAACACUGGUGGAUGGCCGAUACACCUACCGGGAGUAUUUGGAGGCACAUCUAAAAUUUUUGGCAUUUUUUCUGCAAGAAGCCACCCUUUAUUUGGGCUGGAAUCGUGCCAGGGAGAUCUGGGAAUGCCUUGUAACUGGCCAGGAUGUUUGUGAGUUGGAUCGAGAGAUGUGCUUUGAGUGGUUUACGAAAGGACAGCAUGAUCUGGAGAGUGAUGUACAGCAACAGCUCUUCAAAGAGAAGAUUCUUAAACUGGAAUCAUACGAAAUUACUAUGAAUGGUUUUAGUUUAUUUAAGACUUUCUUUGAAAAUGUGAACCUUUGUGACCAUCGACUGAAGAGGCAAGGAACUCAGCUGAGUGUAGAAAAACUGGAAUUAAUAGGAAUGGAUUUCAUUUGGAAGAUUGCAAUGGAGUCACCUGAUGAAGAAAUUGCCAAUGAAGCUAUUCAAUUGAUAAUAAAUUACAGCUAUAUUAAUCUAACUCCUAGACUGAAAAAGGAUUCAGUAUCACUGCACAAGAAAUUCAUUGCUGAUUGCUACACACGAUUAGAGGCAGCCAGCUCUGCACUUGGUGGUCCAACAUUAACACAUGCUGUGACAAGAGCUACAAAAAUGCUUACAGCAACUGCUAUGCCUACGGUGGCAACCUCAGUUCAGUCUCCUUACAGGUCAACUAAACUUGUAAUAAUUGAGAGACUGCUGCUGUUGGCAGAGCGUUACGUGAUAACAAUAGAGGACCUUUACUCAGUUCCCCGAACUAUUCUACCUCAUGGUGCCUCUUUCCAUGGACAUCUUUUAACACUUAAUGUUACAUACGAGUCUACCAAAGAUACCUUUACCAUAGAGGCUCAUAGCAAUGAAACUGUAGGGAGCGUCAGGUGGAAGAUAGCAAAGAUGCUGAAUUCACCUGUGGAUAAUAUACAGAUAUUUGCCAAUGACAGCCUGUUAACAGUAAACAAAGAUCAGAAACUACUCCACCAGCUGGGCUUCUCUGAUGAACAAAUCCUUACAGUAAAAACAUCAGGAAGUGGGACUCCAUCAGGGAGCUCUGCAGAUUCCUCAACCAGUUCCAGCAACAGCAGUAGUGUCUUUAGUUCAUCAUAUGCAAUGGAACAGGAGAAAUCCCUCCCCGGAGUAGUCAUGGCUCUCGUGUGUAAUGUGUUUGAUAUGCUUUACCAGCUUGCCAAUCUAGAGGAGCCAAGGAUAACACUGCGAGUGAGGAAGCUUCUGCUCUUGAUUCCCACUGACCCAGCUAUUCAGGAGGCUCUUGAUCAGCUUGAUUCCCUGGGAAGGAAGAAAACACUGCUGUCAGAAUCCAGUUCUCAGUCCUCAAAAUCACCAUCCUUGUCUUCAAAACACCAACAUCAGCCCAGUGCUAGUUCAAUACUAGAAAGUCUUUUCAGAUCUUUUGCUCCAGGCAUGUCCACCUUCAGAGUGCUCUAUAAUUUGGAGGUUCUGAGCUCCAAGCUGAUGCCAACUGCAGAUGAUGAAAUGGCAAGAAACUGCGCCAAGUCGUUCUGUGAAAACUUCCUCAGAGCAGGAGGUUUGAGUUUGGUGGUGAAUGUGAUGCAGAGAGAUUCCAUCCCAUCAGAGGUAGACUAUGAAACAAGACAAGGAGUCUAUUCCAUCUGCUUGCAACUUGCACGGUUCUUGCUGGUUGGUCAGACAAUGCCUACCUUACUGGAUGAGGAUUUCAUUAAGGAUGGGGUAGAAGCAUUGUCCUCACGCCCCUUCCGUAAUGUCAGCCGACAAGCAAGUAGGCAGAUGUCCAUCUGUGGAACACCCGAGAAGUCAUCCUACAGACAGCUCUCCGUGUCUGAUAGAUCCUCCAUUAGGGUAGAAGAAAUCAUACCAGCAGCAAGAGUUGCCAUACAAACUAUGGAGGUGAAUGAUUUCACUUCCACAGUGGCUUGCUUCAUGCGCCUCUCUUGGGCUGCUGCUGCAGGACGCCUCGACCUCGUGGGAAGCAGUCAGCCAAUAAAAGAGAGCAACACUCUGUUUCCUGCUGGGAUUCGAAACAGACUUAGCAGCUCAGGAAGUAACUGCAGUUCAGGAAGCGAAGGGGAGCCAACUGCACUGCACGCUGGGAUCUGUGUGAGGCAGCAGUCUGUGUCCACCAAAGAUGCUCUGAUUGCUGGAGAGGCCUUGUCUCUCUUGGUAACCUGCCUUCAGCUACGCAGUCAGCAGCUAGGAUCUUUUUACAACUUGCCUUGUGUUGCUGAUUUCAUCAUUGAUAUACUUCUUGGAUCACCAAGUGCUGAGAUUCGUCGUGUUGCCUGUGACCAGUUGUACACCCUUAGUCAGACAGACACAUCAGCUCACCCAGAUGUGCAAAAGCCAAACCAGUUUCUCCUAAAUGUUGUUCUUGGAGCCCAACUGCCUCUUUGGUCACCAACCAGCAUCAUGAGAGGAAUCAACCAGAGACUUUUAUCCCAGUGUACAGAAUAUUUUGACCUGAGGUGUCAGUUACUGGAUGACCUGACAUCAUCAGAAAUGGAACAGCUAAAGAUAAGCCCAGCUGCCAUGUUAGAAGAUGAGAUCACCUGGCUAGACAAUUUUGAACCCAACCGCACAGCCGAGUGUGAGACCAGUGAAGCUGAUAACAUCCUCUUAGCAGGACACCUGAGGCUCAUCAAGACUCUCCUUUCACUUUGUGGGGCAGAGAAGGAAAUGGUUGGUUCAUCUUUGAUUAAGCCAUUGUUGGAUGAUUUUCUCUUCCGAGCAUCCAGAAUUAUUCUGAAUAGCCAUUCUCCAGCAGGCAGCGCUGCAAUCAGUCAGCAAGACUUCCAUCCAAAGUGCAGUACAGCAGACAGCAGAUUGGCUGCUUAUGAGGUGCUGGUAAUGCUGGCUGAUAGCUCACCCUCCAACCUCCAGCUUAUUACAAAAGAGCUGCUUUCUAUGCACCACCAGUGUGAUCCUGCACUUACCAAGGAGUUUGAUUAUCUUCCACCAGUGGAUAGUCGCUCCAUUUCAGGAUUUGUGGGACUGAAGAAUGGUGGUGCUACUUGUUACAUGAAUGCUGUCUUCCAGCAGCUGUAUAUGCAGCCUGGUCUCCCAGAGGCCUUGCUUUCCAUUGAUGAUGAUACAGACAAUCCUGAUGACAAUGUGUUUUAUCAAGUUCAAUCUCUUUUUGGUCAUUUGAUGGAAAGCAAGCUACAGUAUUAUGUACCUGAGAACUUUUGGAAGAUUUUCAAGAUGUGGAAUAAGGAACUUUAUGUUAGAGAGCAGCAGGAUGCUUAUGAGUUCUUCACCAGUCUUAUAGAUCAAAUGGAUGAGUACCUCAAGAAAAUAGGAAGAGACCAAAUAUUUAAGAAUACUUUUCAAGGAAUCUUCUCUGAUCAGAAGAUCUGCAAGGACUGUCCUCACAGGUAUGAGCGCGAGGAAGCCUUCAUGGCCCUCAACCUUGGUGUGACUUCAUGUCAAAGCCUGGAAAUAUCACUGGAUCAGUUUGUUAGAGGAGAAGUUUUGGAAGGAAGCAAUGCUUACUACUGUGAAAAGUGCAAAGAAAAGAGAACUACAGUGAAGCGCACCUGCAUUAAGGUCUUACCAAGCCUGUUGGUGAUUCACCUGAUGAGAUUUGGCUUUGACUGGGAGAGUGGUCGUUCUAUUAAAUAUGACGAACAAAUCAGGUUUCCCUGGAUGCUGAACAUGGAACCUUACACUGUGUCAGGGAUGGCUCGCCAGGACUCAUCCUCGGAAGUGGGGGACAAUGGUAGAAACACAGACCAAGGAGGUGGAGGCUCCCCAAGGAAGAAAGUUGCCCCAACAGAAAACUAUGAGCUCGUUGGUGUGAUUGUUCACAGUGGCCAGGCACACGCAGGGCACUACUACUCCUUCAUAAAGGACAGGAGAGGAUGUGGAAAAGGAAAGUGGUACAAAUUUAAUGACACCGUUGUCGAAGAAUUUGAUUUGACUGAUGAAACCUUGGAAUAUGAAUGUUUUGGUGGAGAGUAUAGACCUAAAGUCUAUGAUCAAUCCAACCCCUACCCCGAUGUGCGUAGGCGCUACUGGAAUGCCUACAUGCUGUUUUACCAGAGAGUGUCUGAUCAGAACUCUCCUGUCCUACCAAAGAAAAGUCGAGUGAGUGUCGUGCGUCAGGAAGCCGAGGACCUCUCCUUAUCUGCUCCAUCGUCGCCAGAAAUUUCACCCCAGUCAUCACCUCGACCCCACAGGCCCAACAGUGACCGUCUCUCCAUCUUGACUAAGCUGGUUCGAAAAGGAGAAAAAAAGGGACUUUUUGUAGAGAAAAUGCCUGUGCGGAUAUAUCAGAUGGUGAGAGAUGAAAACUUGAAAUUUAUGAAGAACAGAGAUGUAUACAGUAGUGACUACUUCAGUUUUGUUCUGUCAUUGGCUUCCCUGAAUGCUACUAAGGUAAAGCACCCUUAUUAUCCGUGCAUGGCAAAGGUGAGCUUACAGCUGGCAGUCCAAUUCCUCUUCCAAACGUAUCUCCGAACAAAGAAGAAACUCAGGGCUGAUACAGAAGAAUGGAUUGCCACCAUAGAUGCACUGCUCUCCAAAAGCAUUGAUGCUUGUCAGUGGUUAGUUGAAUAUUUUGUCGGGCCAGAGGGCCGGGAGCUUGUAAAGACUUUCCUCCUGGAAUGCAGCGUCAGAGAGGUGCGAGUUGCUGUAGCCACUAUCCUUGAAAAAACUCUCGACAGUGCCUUGCUUUAUCAGGAGAAGUUAAAAACUCUACAUCAAUUAUUGGAGGUGCUACUUGCUCUACUGGAUAAAGAUGUACCUGAAAACUGUAAAAACUGUGCUCAGUACUUUUUGCUAUUCAAUAACUUCGUACAGAAGCAGGGAAUAAGGGCUAGCAGUCUUCUUCUCAGGCACUCUGCUCUGAGGCACAUGAUCAACUUCCUUCUUGGCCCCAACCGGCAGAGUAAUCAGAAUCGCAGGUGGAGUUCAGCACAGGCACGUGAGUUUGGAUAUCUUCACAACACUGUAGCACUACUUGUUUUGCACUCUGACGUCUCCUCACAAAGAAAUGUUGCUCCUGGUCUCUUUAAGCAGCGUCUGCCUCUAAGCAUCACCGCUUCAGGGCCGCUUUUGCCGCUCCAUGAAGAAGUAGAAGCCUUGUUAUUCCUGUCUGAGGGAAAACCCUACUUAAUGGAGGUGAUGUACGCGCUGCGAGAGCUGACGGGAUCACUGUCCGUUCUCAUUGAGAUGGUGGUGUACUGCUGCUUUUGCAACGAGCACUUUUCCUUUACUGUGCUACACUUCAUCAAGACUCAACUGGAAACUGCUCCACCUCAUGAACUGAAAAACAUAUUCCAGUUACUCCAUGAGAUACUGGUUAUUGAAGACCCAUUACAAGUAGAGCGCAUCAAAUUUGCCUUUGAAACUGAAAAUGGAUUAAUAGGCAACUUUGAUGCACCACAGCAACCAUGUGGACAGCAGUCGUUGCUACCAGUGUGUCAAGUUCCUUGUUACUUUGGCUCAGAAGUGCCCUACUGCAAAAGAUUAUUUCAAGGAGAAUUCCCACCAUUGGAGUUGGGCUGUGCAGUGGCUACAGAAAAAGAUGUCUGAACAUUACUGGGCUCCACAGAGUAACGUGUCCAAUGAAACAUCCACUGCCAAAACCUUCCAGCGCACUAUUUCAGCACAGGACACGCUGGCCUAUGCCACAGCCUUGCUCAACGAGAAGGAUCAGUCUGGAAGCAGUAACGGGUCAGAAAGCAGUCCAGCCAACGAGAACGGGGAGAGGCACCUGCAGCAGGGCUCAGAGUCUCCUAUGAUGAUUGGUGAGCCCAAAAGUGACCUUGAUGAUGUUGACCCAUAGAGGAGAUGCCUAUGGACACAAGAACAGAUCAACUCAAACAUUUAAUGCCUGGUACCUACUGGAACUGGAGUCGUGUUGCUUAUGCCUGGGAGAGCAGUGGCUUUACAGGACCAGAGGCAAUGCUGGAGGAGGUUGUUUCCCUGAAAGCUAAAAGCAUUUUUUAGCCAUGAAGGCUUCAGAUCAAUAAAUGCUCUAGAAAACUGCAUCUUCACCUGCAGUAGCUUGUGACAGUCCAAACACCGAAAACAGUGUGUCAAGAAGAUUUUAUCAAAUACACAAACGCUAGUGGUUGAAUUUUUAUGUGAACAUUAAAUGAGUGAAUGUAAAACUGUUGCUUUUCUGUGAUGCUGCAAAAAAAAUUCUUUUGGUUUUUAUACAGGAAAAAAAAAACAAACAGACUGUCCUUAUGUAUGGAGGGCAAAUUUUUAAUCUUUCUGAUAAUAUUGAAUAGGAAUAUUCAAAUUUCUGUAAAGAUGUGUGAUGACUUACAUUUCAUUGUAAAAUAUUAGUUAAAGAAUGGGUUUACAUAAGGACUUCUGUAUUUAAUAUGUCUCCCUGCUAAUUUGUAAAGCUCUUGAUGAGAAAGAUCAGCAAGAUUGCUCUAUAAGGAUAGUGAUUCCUUAUGGAAUGGUUUGGUUGAGGAGCUCUAGAAUGAGUCAUCUUUGCUGGUACCCUUCUGAAAAUCCUUCAGACAACUGGGAAGGGCAGUAAAAAAAAAAGCUUUGUUCUCUAGGUAUGCAAGCAUUUAUUAUUCAAGGAUGUUGGUGAAUUAAAAACAAAAAGAAGUUAAUGAGUAGUUUAAAACAAAAAAGCACUUUAAGAAGGAAUUCUGUUGCAGUUUUACUCAUUAAAUUUUUUUAACCUUUGGAGACAUAUUGAAUAAAAUGUAGUCUCAGUCAUGGAUCUGCAAUCACUUGCUUAUGCUUUGAAAUUACUGAGAAAGUUGGUAUUGGUUGUAUAUGAUGAAUAAUUCCUUGAGUGAGCUGGGAACACUGCUGUGCAGAUUUUAUAGCAAUUUUAACAUGGGGAAAGAAUGAAUUGGCUUUAUAUUUUCACUUGACCAGGCAACGUUUAAAAUAUCACAGCUCUUUUAAUUUGCUCACAAACAACUGGAAACCAGUUGGGAUGAUUUGAGCACAGUUUUGUUUUCCAUGUUAAGUGCAGUUCAGUGAUUUCUGGCUCUGGAAACAAGCUUCUUUUGUGCCAACUAACUUCAUCUUUUGUACAUUUUGCGUUUGUCACAUUUUCUGCACUGCUUUUUGCCUUUAUUUAUGGAUUCUGCCUUACUUUAAAGAAAUUAUAUAAACAAACAUGCACAGAAAUGGGGGACAUCUUAAGGAGUGCCUGGGUACCUCCAGAAUAGAUAAAUUUGCCAAGUUAAAGGCACAACCAGCCAAAAAGUGCCUUUUUUGUUUCUUUUUCACGUGCUGUUGCCGAAACACGAAGCAGCAGACAGCUUUUCACUGUUAUGCACUAAUACUGAAAGUAACCAGUCAUUUCACUGUUGGAAGUAACCAUCAGAUCUGAUGUCAGCUGUACAGCUUUCUAACUUAUUGUGGGGUAAGAGAGCCGUCGUCACGAAUUGCACGUGCAAAGUAAGGGUGGCAUUGUAGUGGAUCUCUCACUUUCUUUUCCAAACAAUGUCUUCAUAGACACAUGGCAGAGUUAGCAUUUUAUAAAUGUUUCUGAUAAUGUGCUGGGACAUUUUAAAUGUGAUGUUUUAAAUUAAUUUUGAAUAAAUCAUUUCUUACAGACACCCCUUCUUCCUUCCCCCCAUCCCUAAUACAUUGUUAAUGGCUCAUAAAUCUCCCCAAGAAGUCAGUACACAGCGGUGAUGGUGAUGGAAGAAGCUGAUAAUGUUCCUAUGGGUUGGCAUCACUUGUCGCUUCAGGUUCCUGUUAUUUCCUAUGGAAACAACAUCCUCGAUACCCGCAGGCCCAGGGAAGCAUUGAUGGGAAUUGCAUCAGGAUGGCUCAUCACCACUGUAUACUUGAAACCAAUACAAACUUUUUCACGGUUCUGCUCACGCUUGUACAAAGUCAAUGGUUAUCAUUUGCAAUAAGAUGAUACUUGGUCAAUUAUUUUUGUUUCCAUCUGCUGUCAUUUGAACCUGCUGAAGAUUAUUUUUUGGAAAAUAGAGUUCAACAAAAACUAGUUUUUGUGUAAAUUGUGAUGCAUUUCUAUGUUGUAAUUUUUACUGCCAAUCUUUUUGGAUGAAAAUGUUUUUAUACAGUUUACAAAAUGUUCAGUGAGGAGCAGCCACAUCCUGGCUGUGAGCACUGGGGGAGAUAUUGUCCGAUUAACGCGUAGACAUUUGGCACUGGAAAAUUAGGCAGUCUUGAUGAACAGUCUUGGGAUUCCUGGUCAAUGGAAUAAAGUUAUUCCUUUCACAGAAAA